UAAUACGUAGGGUGCGAGCGUUAAUCGGAAUUACUGGGCGUAAAGGGUGCGCAGGCGGUUUUGUAAGUCAGAUGUGAAAUCCCCGGGCUUAACCUGGGAAUUGCGUUUGAAACUACAAGACUAGAGUGUGGCAGAGGGAGGUGGAAUUCCAUGUGUAGCAGUGAAAUGCGUAGAGAUAUGGAAGAACAUCGAUGGCGAAGGCAGCCUCCUGGGUUAACACUGACGCUCAUGCACGAAAGCGUGGGGAGCAAACAGGAUUAGAUACCCUGGUAGUCCACGCCCUAAACGAUGUCAACUAGUUGUCGGGCCUUACUAGGCUUGGUAACGAAGCUAACGCGUGAAGUUGACCGCCUGGGGAGUACGGUCGCAAGAUUAAAACUUAAAUGAAUUGACGG
rnacentral:rRNA from 1 species